rnacentral:lncRNA from 1 species
AGGCUGAAAUCAUGAAACGGGUUGGUCGAGCAAUUAUGGUUAAGGCUGCACUAACCUCUAUGGUUAAAGCAAUUGAAAAUCAGAAGAGAUUUCUUGUGGAGAGGAAGGAAAGAGGCUAGAGGUGGUCACUGUUUGAUUGCAUGGCUGAAGGUUUGCUGAUCCAAGGAACUUGGAGGUCUAGGUGUUCUUGACUUAAAAGGUUGGUCCCUGCGAAUGCGAUGGCUUUGGUUGUGCAUAAAACCCAGCCGGAUAAACUUUGGGCCAGAUUCACUGUACAAGUUGAUCCUUGUGUUAAGGCUCUCUUCUCCACCGCUAGUCUCGGUGGUGGAUGAUGGUCGUAACACCCUAUUCUGGACAGGUUGAUGGUUGGAGGGGAAGUCAUUUGCUGAUCUUCUCCGAGCCUUUUUGCCCUCAUUCCUAAGCACCUGGCUAAUAGUCAUAGACCUACUGAUCCACUGACUGGGCAUUGCUGUGUUUAGGAUAUACAGGGCACUCCCUCAGCGGCUGCCUUGUCCAAAUAUUUAGAUAUAUGGGACCUUGUGUCUGAAGUGGAGAUCCAGAAUGAUAUACAAGAUUUAGAGAUUUGCUGGAGAUGGUCAGUAUUCAGCAAAAAACGGCUUAUGCUCUUUAUUGAUUCAGUUAAUCUGGAGCAUUGGAAGUUGAUCUGGAAGUCAUGUGCCCCUAAGAAUGUCAAUUCUUCCAUUGGUCGGUUGCCCAUGAUAGACGAUGGACGGCUGACCUCCUUUCUCGGAGGGGUUUGCCACAUCCAGAAUGCUGCCCGUUUUGUGAUCAACACCAGGAAAUGAUACAUUAUAUCCUUGCAUCUUGUAUCUUUGCAAAAGAGACCUGGUCGCUCCUGUUUAGAUAUAUUGGUCUCCCUGACUUGGCGCCCCAAUCACCUUCUGCAUUUUUCUUUGACUAGUGGUCCAAAAUCAUCUCUAUUGUGCGAGGUUUUAUGCAAGUUGGCUUGAACUCCUCGCUUGGUACUUGAAUGAUUUGGACGCAUCAAAAUGAAUGUGUAUUCAUCGGGUGUUCACCUAAUGUCCAAGGGGUGCUGCUGGCCGUGUCAAGUUCAGCCUGGACGAGGCUGUAGCUGUGGCACUAGAAGCUUGCAUCGGUGGACUUUGCAGCAAGCUUGAGGUCGUAUCACUACUAGGCCGCGUGCUUCACUUCUAUGUAUCCUCCAAGCACGUUGGCCUCCAGAUCGUCUCAAUCCAAUUCUAUGGGUGUGUUUGGAUCGAUGCCUACGGCAGCCAAGCCAAUAAAAUUGGGCAUCAACCAGAGGGUGGGCACGUGUUUGGUUGUGGGCAUUGUUUACAAAGCAUCCAGCUUCAGACGCUUAAGCGUCGCUUAAGAGACAAGGCGCCCUGGCAGCGCCUUAGAUAUUUGCCUGCUUUAGGCGCUUAAGAGCCCGCUUUAGGCGCUUAGGCGUCGCUUAAGCGUUAGAGCGGGUGGUGCUUGCUUUAGGUCGCUUUACCGCUUUAUAAACAAUGGUUGUGGGCCAAUAAUUUGGCUCGCCCGGAACGAUGCUGCUUCACCAGUUCAUUUUUGCGCCAAUGCAUUGGCGAGUUGCCGGCGGCUAAAAGCUGCACCAAUUUUCCGGCAAGCCUGUGGUUUGGCAGGCCGAGCAGGGACAUCAUCCAAACACACCCUAUAGAUGUGAUGCUUUUGCUCUCAAGAUCUGGCUAGAUCAGCUAGAGGCUAAUUCUUGAGCUAGUGCCUAGCUUUCUGCAAUUUCAUCCCUCUGUUUACACCCCCACCAAAAUAUUCUCAAAUUCAAUAAAAAAAUUACUACCGAGGCCUCCCCUGCAGUUUUCCGCUCAAAAAAGUGAAGGGGCUCACCUCAAGGAACAUAACAGAAGUAAAGUGUGAUUUAACCUAUUUAGAUAAAAUACAGCCUAAUUACAUCAACUCGAGAUUAAACAAACCUGUUGUUGAUCAUGCAACGCCCUUGAGAAGAACACAUCAGCAGUAAAAAGAAGCCAAUCAAGUUCAAAGUUUCCCAACGGCACCUGUUUCAGUAAGAAUUGGUGUAAAGUCAUUUUCAUGUGAAAUGAGAUAAUUCACUAGAACCACAAUAAAGAACCCCUACAUGUGCAUAUCUAGCAAGUGAAAUUCUUUCAUUGAACCAUUGAGUUGAUGCAGCACAACGCUGCAUGCUUGUUCUACCAGCUGUCGCUUGCCAGCCAAGAGCCUGGAUAAAUAGGUGUAAGCAAAACAACAAGGCAAAGAAAAAAAUGCAAAGAAAAUAUAACCAUUGGUGCCCCACUACAUACCUGAUAGUUGUUGUCCCGUGCAUUGCAAGGAAUGGUUACACACGGGAAAUCAUCAAGUGCACGUACAGAUUCCCUUAUAGCUUGGAGUUUAGGACAUUCAAUGAUGCCUAUGACAGGUCCAGGAUGUUGUUGUCUGAAAUAUUUCACUUAGUUUAUCGUAAGAAAAUAUCUGAAAUAAUUAUUACUUGGCUAGUUUUCUUUUGUUGAAAGCUUUGACUAGUAUAUUGCUAAUGACCCAGACAAAUAUUCUUCAAUUUAAUAACAUUUGAUCAAUACAAGACUACUCCAUUAUUGGUGUAUGUACACAUAUUUACAAUGCUAUUAUGCAUCACAACUUUGCCAAAAAAAGAAUAUUAAAUUGAGAUUAUGCUGAUAAUUUUAGAUUCAGAUAGUUAUAUUAAACAUGACUGGCCAGUACAGGUAAUCAGCAAGUUACCAACAAAACCAGGCUACAGAAACUGAAUACAUACAUGUUCAUACUUGUUAGUGCCACAGCUUACUGAAGCAAUUCAACAGCACAGACAACUCAUAGAAAGACUGAAAGAGACUGAUGGAAUAUGAUUGAUGCUUGACUUAAAGGGAAAAAUGGCUUACCUGUACUCAAGUAACAUUCGUUGCACAUAUUUGCUACCUGCAUCCAUUGAUGUGUGGUAGUCCAC